AAGAGUGUAGAUACUUCAUAAAGAGUACAGAACAGAUACAGAUAAAUACUGAUAGUGCAAUACUGUGAAAAAACAGACAAUAUCAAAUCCCAACACAAAACAUCUUACAGGAAAUCUGUUAAGUCUUAAGAUGAUUUAAAACUGAAGCAGAAUGACCCUACUGUAACAUCGCAGUUGCUCCACACAGCUCACAUGGUGGCCAUGAUUGUAUUACUGACGAUAAAAUUGAAACAUCUAAAGGUUGUGUGACCUCAAGCUGUCCGAAAAUCCAACAACUGGUUCAGAAGUUGCAGACACACAGACACCAUAUAAUCUAAAUCAAAGUCAUUACACACUCUUGACACAGUAUAAAACUUGAUCAACCUUUGAACCUCCUGGUAAGGUAUGUUUUUCCUUCUCUUCAUAUGAUGCUGGUAAUUUUGCAAUAACAAAAAGUUAAGGACAGAUACAUUUAUUACUCGUUCAGAUAAAAUUAAGUGCCAUUCUCUGGCACACAAUUUUCUCACGUUUUUGUAACAAUUCAAAUUUGCAUGUUACAUCUGCCCAGUGAGAAAAGAUUCAUUAGCAUUUGUUUUGAAUUUCAGACAUGACAUAUGCACUAAAACUAAUAUAAACAUUUUAAUGUGAUCAAACAAUUCAGGGAGUCGGAAUUACUAAAUUCUUGGACUUCAUCCAUCGUCUGGUAUUAAAACAAACACAAUGUUUCGGAAACCGGAUCUGUUUUUGUCCUCAUGUGAGAAGAAAAAAGUAGUUAUGAUCUGACAGUUUCUUUGAGGGUAGUUUCAUAAUUUUUGUUUGAGGGCUCAACUGUUGAUCCAUAAAUGAAUUCUACAUCAAAGUUUCUGGAUUGGGUCUUUUUGGUUUGAUGUAUUUAUUUUUUAACUUUCUUUCCUAUCUUAAUUUUAGGUCUUAUAAAUUUCCACAAUUUCUACUGUAAUUUUUUCUGUUCUCCUGUUGACUAAACCUGAUCUCAGGUACUUAUAUAGAUGCAAUCAUAUUGACUUUGGUUGCCCAGUGACUGAGGUUAGCACUUUCUAACAGACCCAACUGAGUAGGUGCCCCUUCCACUUUUUACCUGAAGAUGGAAACAGAUCAUUUUCCAAAUGUUGUGUUCUUGUGAUUACCAGCUGAUGGACAAAGUCCAAGAAUUUAGUAAUUGCAUAUGUAACACACCAUAAUCAGAACCCUUUAGAAUGCCACAGAGUAUAUUAUAAGUUAGUUACUAAAGCUGAUAUAACACACGGUUCUUCCAAAUUCGAGAAACCUGAUUUGUUAGUUUCUA